rnacentral:tRNA from 1 species
GCUGCUGUGGUGUAACGGCUAGCACUAAGGCCUGUGGAGCCUUGAGACGGGGUUCAACUCCCCGCUGCAGCCCCA